ensembl:rRNA 5S_rRNA 5S ribosomal RNA
AUCUAUGGCCAUUCCACGCUGAACGCGCCUGAUCUCGUCUGAUCUCGGAAGCUAAGCAGGGCUGGGCCUGGUUAGUAAUUGGAUGGGAAAAUAAUUUAAGGCCAAGUAAUAUUAUACU